UUAGAAAUGAGGAGACUUUCCCCAUAUGAUCGACGUUGAUUCGAACUGUGCUUCUUCAUUCUUCUCCACUAUUUCAUAGCGGAGAUUUAAAAGCCAGAUCUCUGAUCUUU
rnacentral:snoRNA from 1 species